rnacentral:rRNA from 1 species
AUUGAACGCUGGCGGCAUGCCUUACACAUGCAAGUCGAACGGUAACAGGUCUUCGGAUGCUGACGAGUGGCGAACGGGUGAGUAAUACAUCGGAACGUGCCCGAGAGUGGGGGAUAACGAGGCGAAAGCUUUGCUAAUACCGCAUAGGCACUCAGGAUGAAAGCAGGGGACCGCACGCCCUUGCGCUCACGGAGCGGCCGGUGGGCAACUAGGUAGUUGGAGGGAUAAAAGCUUACCACGCCCACGCUCUGUAGCCGGUCUGAGAGGACGACCAGCCACACUGGGACUGAGACACGGCCCAGACUCCUACGGGAGGCAGCAGUGGGGAAUUUUGGACAAUGGGCGCAAGCCUGAUCCAGACAUGCCGCGUGCAGGAUGAAGGCCUUCGGGUUGUAAACUGCUUUUGUACGGAACGAGAAGACUCUGGUUAAUACCUGGGGUCCAUGACGGUACCGUAAGAAUAAGCACCGGCUAACUACGUGCCAGCAGCCGCCGUAAUAC